rnacentral:rRNA from 1 species
GCCAGGAGCCCUCAGACCAUACCAAUGCCGUCGGUCUGAAGGGUGAUGAUAUAGUCCGAUCUGCAUAGCGAUAUGCAGGGGUCAAUGGCUACAGAUAUCUGUAGCCGGUUAUUGACUCGCAACUGGAUGCAGGCAGUUUGGCGCCAGUUGUUAACAUCAAUGAACGGUCCUAAGGUAGCGAGGUUGAUGAGAGCUUUGUUGUAGGUGGACCAGUUGGUGAUUUUGAACUUUUGCUUUGCCACGGAACGGUCUGCGUUGUCGGGAAGAUGCGUGAUCUGAUCCUUCAACUCAGCAAAAGUUCGAUUUAUUCAACAAAGCCACGUUGUGUCUCAAAAUCUCUGAUGUUACAUUGCACAAGAUAAAAAUAUAUCAUCAUGAAUAAUAAAACUGUCUGCUUACAUAAACAGUAAUACAAGGGGUGUUAUGAGCCAUAUUCAACGGGAAACGUCUUGCUCGAGGCCGCGAUUAAAUUCCAACAUGGAUGCUGAUUUAUAUGGGUAUAAAUGGGCUCGCGAUAAUGUCGGGCAAUCAGGUGCGACAAUCUAUCGAUUGUAUGGGAAGCCCGAUGCGCCAGAGUUGUUUCUGAAACAUGGCAAAGGUAGCGUUGCCAAUGAUGUUACAGAUGAGAUGGUCAGACUAAACUGGCUGACGGAAUUUAUGCCUCUUCCGACCAUCAAGCAUUUUAUCCGUACUCCUGAUGAUGCAUGGUUACUCACCACUGCGAUCCCCGGGAAAACAGCAUUCCAGGUAUUAGAAGAAUAUCCUGAUUCAGGUGAAAAUAUUGUUGAUGCGCUGGCAGUGUUCCUGCGCCGGUUGCAUUCGAUUCCUGUUUGUAAUUGUCCUUUUAACAGCGAUCGCGUAUUUCGUCUCGCUCAGGCGCAAUCACGAAUGAAUAACGGUUUGGUUGAUGCGAGUGAUUUUGAUGACGAGCGUAAUGGCUGGCCUGUUGAACAAGUCUGGAAAGAAAUGCAUAAGCUUUUGCCAUUCUCACCGGAUUCAGUCGUCACUCAUGGUGAUUUCUCACUUGAUAACCUUAUUUUUGACGAGGGGAAAUUAAUAGGUUGUAUUGAUGUUGGACGAGUCGGAAUCGCAGACCGAUACCAGGAUCUUGCCAUCCUAUGGAACUGCCUCGGUGAGUUUUCUCCUUCAUUACAGAAACGGCUUUUUCAAAAAUAUGGUAUUGAUAAUCCUGAUAUGAAUAAAUUGCAGUUUCAUUUGAUGCUCGAUGAGUUUUUCUAAUCAGAAUUGGUUAAUUGGUUGUAACACUGGCAGAGCAUUACGCUGACUUUAACUAUAACGGUCCUAAGGUGGGAAUUAGCUGCCUUAGUAAAAUCCAACCAAAUGCUGGGACGCCUGAGAAUCCUACGCUACGAAGAAAUUUUUGUGGGUUUCCGCGAAAAAUUUCCCGUGACAAUGCGAUAGGUGCAGGUAAUCAGCAGGAAAGACUCAUGGCUUGUUGGGCAUGAGAAUCCCCAGAGACUAAACGCUGGACAUCUCAAUCCCUGUUGAGAUGAAGAUAUAGUCCGAACUGUGUGGCGACACGCAGAGCAGUAGUGAAAGCUGCUGCCGCCUCAGACUGGUGUAAGCCGGUGAAGUCGAGGUCAGCCGUUUUAGCUCAAGCGGCACAAGUAACAGCGAGAGCGAAAUUCCUUGUCGGGUAAGUUCCGACCUGCACGAAUGGCGUAAUGAUGGCCACGCUGUCUCCACCCAAGACUCAGUGAAAUUGAAAUCGCUGUUAAGAUGCAGUGUACCCGCGGCUAGACGGAAAGACCCCGUGAACCUUUACUAUAGCUUCACACUGGACUUUGACCUUAUUUGUGUAGGAUAGGUGGGAGACUUUGAAGCGCCGGCGCCAGCCGGCGUGGAGUCAACCUUGAAAUACCACCCUGGUAAUGUUGAGGUUCUAACUCAGGUCCCUUACCGGGAUCGAGGACAGUGUGUGGUGGGUAGUUUGACUGGGGCGGUCUCCUCCCAAAGAGUAACGGAGGAGCACGAAGGUACCCUAAGGGCGGUCGGAAAUCGCCCGUUUAGUGUAAUGGCAUAAGGGUGCUUGACUGCGAGAGUGACAACUCGAGCAGGAGCGAAAGCUGGUCAUAGUGAUCCGGUGGUUCUGAAUGGAAGGGCCAUCGCUCAACGGAUAAAAGGUACUCCGGGGAUAACAGGCUGAUACCGCCCAAGAGUUCACAUCGACGGCGGUGUUUGGCACCUCGAUGUCGGCUCAUCACAUCCUGGGGCUGAAGCCGGUCCCAAGGGUAUGGCUGUUCGCCAUUUAAAGUGGUACGCGAGCUGGGUUUAGAACGUCGUGAGACAGUUCGGUCCCUAUCUGCCGUGGGCGCAGGAGAUUUGAGAAGAGUUGCUCCUAGUACGAGAGGACCGGAGUGAACGAACCUCUGGUGUUCGGGUUGUGUCGCCAGACGCAUUGCCCGGUAGCUAUGUUCGGACAGGAUAACCGCUGAAAGCAUCUAAGCGGGAAGCCUCCUUCGAGACGAGAUCUCCCUCAGGACUUGAUCCUGCUGAAGUGCCGUUGAAGACGACGACGUUGAUAGGCUGGGUGUGUAAGCGCCGUGAGGCGUUGAGCUAACCAGUACUAAUUGCACGUGAGGCUUGACCA